CAAAGUAGACCACCGUUAGAUGGACCUUGCCGUCCAGGUGGACGCACACUUCCCUGGACAAAACAUCACGAGGAUGUUGACAGAAACGCUGAGCUCCAUGACGUCAUGACGCUGUUUUUUUUCCAGGUUGUAUACCUGAAGUUACGGAUGAACUGUCGGAAUGCGUCGGCCCUCUUGGAGAGCGGUACGAUGAAGUUGAUGAGCGUGUUCCGCGUGUCCACUCGCUCGCUCUUCACCUUCACCACAGGGCCGAAAGGCCUGAAGAGCACCAGGGAGUAUCCACAGCGUUGUUGACACUGCCUUCCCCCCUUCCUCCUCUCUCGAUAAGGUCUCUCCUCAGGGUGUCUGCUCAGGCCUGUCUCCAGCUGAAACACCCUGCGUGAAAACACACGUCACACAGUCAGUCUUCCAGCCACCUGCUCAGUGGCCUAGUGGUUAGAGUGUCCGCCCUGAGAUUGGUAGGUUGUGAGUUCAAACCCCGGCCCAGUCAUACCAAAGACUACAUAAAAUAGGACCCAUUACCUCCCUGCUUGGCACUCAGCAUCAAGGGUUGGAAUUGGGGGUUAAAUCACCAAAAUGAUUCCCAGGCGCAGCCACUGCUGCUGCUCACUGCUCCCCUCACCUCCCAGGGGUGAACAAGGGGAUGGGUCAAAUGCAGAGGACACAUUUCACCACACCUAGUGUGUGUGUGUGACAAUCAUUGGUACUUUAACUUUAACCAUUGAAUGUGGUAGUGUGUUUUUUUAAGUCACUUCAUGAAUUUAGUUGGAUUAGAUUGUUGACUCUCAUUUUACAACAGAUAUUCCCUCAGAUAUGUUAAGAGUUUGAAAUGCAGUAAUGCCCCCUAAAUGCUCAUCACUAUCAUCUAUAAUUUCCUAGCAUGUACAUCUCGUGGCCGCAGGCCCAUAUUUUGUGGCCCUCUUCUUUACUUAACAGCUUAUUGUAAUAAAGUGCUAAUAGUCUCUCUUGGA